CCUAACACAUGCAAGUCGAGCGGCAGCGGGAAAGUAGCUUGCUACUUUUGCCGGCGAGCGGCGGACGGGUGAGUAAUGCCUGGGAAAUUGCCCAGUCGAGGGGGAUAACAGUUGGAAACGACUGCUAAUACCGCAUACGCCCUACGGGGGAAAGCAGGGGACCUUCGGGCCUUGCGCGAUUGGAUAUGCCCAGGUGGGAUUAGCUAGUUGGUGAGGUAAUGGCUCACCAAGGCGACGAUCCCUAGCUGGUCUGAGAGGAUGAUCAGCCACACUGGAACUGAGACACGGUCCAGACUCCUACGGGAGGCAGCAGUGGGGAAUAUUGCACAAUGGGGGAAACCCUGAUGCAGCCAUGCCGCGUGUGUGAAGAAGGCCUUCGGGUUGUAAAGCACUUUCAGCGAGGAGGAAAGGUCAGUAGCUAAUAUCUGCUGGCUGUGACGUUACUCGCAGAAGAAGCACCGGCUAACUCCGUGCCAGC
rnacentral:rRNA from 1 species